rnacentral:rRNA from 1 species
AAUGAACGCUGGCGGCAGGCCUAACACAUGCAAGUCGAACGGAUCCUUCGGGAUUAGUGGCGGACGGGUGAGUAACGCGUGGGAACAUACCCUUUGGUACGGAAUAGCCUCGGGAAACUGGGAGUAAUACCGUAUGUGGUCGAGAGACGAAAGAUUUAUCGCCAAAGGAUUGGCCCGCGUUGGAUUAGGUAGUUGGUGGGGUAAUGGCCUAGCAAGCCGACGAUCCAUAGCUGGUUUGAGAGGAUGAUCAGCCACACUGGGACUGAGACACGGCCCAGACUCCUACGGGAGGCAGAAGUGGGGAAUCUUAGACAAGGGGGAAACCCUGAUCUAGCCAUGCCGCGUGAUCGAUGAAGGCCUUAGGGUUGUAAAGAUCUUUCAGGUGGGAAGAUAAUGACUGUACCACCAGAAGAAGCCCCGGCUAACUCCGUGCCAGCCGCCGCGGUAA